rnacentral:rRNA from 1 species
GACGAACGCUGGCGGCGUGCUUAACACAUGCAAGUCGAACGGAAAGGCCCUGCUUUUGUGGGGUGCUCGAGUGGCGAACGGGUGAGUAACACGUGAGUAACCUGCCCUUGACUUUGGGAUAACUUCAGGAAACUGGAGCUAAUACCGGAUAGGAGCUCCUGCUGCAGGGUGGGGGUUGGAAAGUUUCGGCGGUUGGGGAUGGACUCGCGGCUUAUCAGCUUGUUGGUGGGGUAGUGGCUUACCAAGGCUUUGACGGGUAGCCGGCCUGAGAGGGUGACCGGCCACAUUGGGCCUGAGAUACGGCCCAGACUCCUACGGGAGGCAGCAGUGGGGAAUAUUGCACAAUGGGCGGAAGCCUGAUGCAGCAACGCCGCGUGCGGGAUGACGGCCUUCGGGUUGUAAACCGCUUUCGCCUGUGACGAAGCGUGAGUGACGGUAAUGGGUAAAGAAGCACCGGCUAACUACGUG